GACGAACGCUGGCGGCGUGCCUAAUACAUGCAAGUAGGACGCAGUCGCGAACGGGUGAGUAACGCGUAGGUAACUACCUAUUAGAGGGGGAUAACUAUUGGAAACGAUAGCUAAUACCGCAUACUAGUAGAUGGACCUGCUUUGUAUUAGCUAGUAGGUAGGGUAAUGGCCUACCUAGGCAAAGUUACAUAGCCUACCUUGGGGGGUGAACGGCCACACCGGGACGUAGACACGGCCCCGACUUCUUCGGGAGGCAGCAGUAGGGAAUCUUCGGCCAUUGGGCGAACGCUGACCGAGCAACGCCGCGUGAGUGAAGAAGGUUUUCGGAUCGUAAAGCUCUGUUGUUAAGGAAGCGUUACUUAACCAGAAAGGGACGGCUAACUACGUGCCAGCAGCCGCGGUAAUAC
rnacentral:rRNA from 1 species